UACGACAUUUCAUUACUUGUAUCCGCAGUGUUGGAGAAUAAGAAAAAUGAUUGAAGUCUCCACCUGAGUGUUGCAAAAGUUUGCAAAUAGAAUCCAGAAAUCUAUCAGAACGUGUAUCUAAAUUAUUGACAAUUUGAACUCACAGUAAACAUUUUGACCAACCAAAGAUGGCCUUGAUCUUACACGCUUAAUUUUGUGGAAUUAGACUCGCUUUGUUGCAAAAAGCCCUGUGAUUUUCAUGCGAAAUUCAAUCAUUUUGAGCAUUCUAACAAUCAUGUCCAUCGUCUGGCCAAUAAGUCGGAAUCAUUACCAUAAUAUCUAUCGCAUUGAAGACAAUGAAUCAAACACAAUAGUAUGGGGAAACGAAGUCGUUGGAUUCACUAUCGAUGCAUUAAUUUUUAUUAACCUGUUGGCCUUCUUGUAUGUCAUUUCCCAAAUAAUAAGCCAUUGCAUUCACUUUUUUACCAAUAACGAUGACGAAGGAUGAUCCCACUGAUGUCUUUUAAACACGCACGAGUCCUUUGCAUUAGGUUACUCUAUGAUGAAAAAUAAAUUGCCUUGUGUAAUUAUUUAA